UCUUUCCUGGCUUUAUAUUGUUGCGUGAGUGUUGCCUGGGUUUUGUUUCCCCACCCAAAAUACAGGCUGCUUGAGGGCAGAGAAGACACAGUGCUAUGUCUGAGAACUUCCUUGUUCACCCAGGGUAACAGUAUGUACAGAGUUGGUUUCUUUUUACCUAUUGAGUGAACACUAGGUGGGGAAACAUCAGAAAUAUUCAAAAUGUGGUCCCAGUCCUUGAGUGGGUAGUAUUUUAGUUGAGCAAACGUUGUGUACUCACGUGGGACAGUAUGAAACGUUGGCGCUAAAUGAAGGAAAUAAUGAUUGAUCACAUUUAUGUAGGACUUAAAACGUGCCUGACACUGCCCCCGGUCCUUCUCCGUGUUACUUUAUUUGCAUGUCACAGCGAUCUGUUGAAGUAGGUACAGUUCUAAUCCCAUUUUUCAAAUGAGGAAACUGAGGCCCAGCAAGGCAGUUAAGUGACUUGUCCAAGAUCACAAUACGAGCCGUAAGCAGGGAGACAGGCUGUGAGCCCGGGCAGCCUGGGUCCUGAGUCACUGUGGGCCCUCCAGGGAGAUUUACUUUAUCAAAGGCAGACAAGAGGUCUAAAAGCUGACACUUUUCUCAAAUUUCCAAGUAGCACACACAACUGCAGUGGCUCUGGGCUGCAGAAAAAGGGCUGGAUUUUCCAGGUGGAAGAGGUUGAUAAUGAAAUAGUGGCGGGGACACUGUAUUUUGAAAUGACUAAAGGCAAGACGAGAGAAGCUGAAUUUUGAACCUCAAAGCUAAGUGAGGGAUGUGACUCUCCCUAGGAAUGGAGUUCUAGGACAGUGACUCACCGGGACGUAGGGCAGUGAUUUUAAGUUACUAAUCAGUGUCAAAUAACUCAUGCGAAAUAAAGCAGUACUGAAUGACACUUGUUACGACUUUAAAAACACUUUUAAACCCCUAGUGGACAUAGUUUCCCAGCGAAGGGGAGUGUGACUGAAGGUUUCCUGUGCACGUCUGUCCAUUUGCUUUGUCCAUCUGUGAAAUCUUGAUCCACUUUUUCAGCUUGUCUUGGACAAUAGAGAACACACAUGGGGCUCAGAGGCCUCUUCAAACCAAGCAAUGUUCUUUGGUAGGGGGAAAAAAAACCCCAAACCAUAAAAUCACGCUGUUGAUCUGGUGACAGACCUAGAACGAAGUCAUUUUGAAGCCAUGUGGAAUUGGAUGAGGGCCUACAGACAAAAUCCAGCAAGAGGAAGAGAAAUGAUAUUCUCUGAAGGCCCAGUCUUGUAUCCUUCUUGUCGGGAGCUGACAGUUAUUCUGGGGGUGUCGGGCAUCAGCAGAGUCCACUGAAUCCAAAUGACUCAGCAGAGAGGGGAGUCCGCACGUCUCCACACCCACUGCCCUGGAAUCAGAGGAGGAAGUACCUUGAAUGAAUCAUGGGCCGCAACCCUGGUCUGACGCCGGGGAGACACCCGCUCUGCAGGCAUCUUACCGUGGAAACAACACAGUUUGACUUCCAUGCCAUCUUUGAGGAUGGGAGAAUCCUAGUUUCAGCGUGUCCUCAGUAGAGACCAAAGAACCAGGUUUGUUCUUUCAAGAAGUGUCCCAAUGCCUCGGAACAGGAGCCAUUUCCAGAAGUAAAUAGUAAUGUCCGAUGCCUGUGAACCGGACUGUUUGGCCAAGUGACUCGUUAAGAUGUUCAUGGAAGAAUGCUUAAAAAAAAAAAAAAA